GCAAGUCGAGGGGUAACGAUAUCUUCGGAUAGGCGACGACCGGCGCACGGGUGAGUAACGCGUAUGCAACCUACCUCAAACUGAGGGAUAGCCCAUGGAAACGUGGAUUAAUACCUCAUGGUAUAUUUUUAUCGCAUGAUUUAAAUAUUAAAGUUCCGGCGGUUUGAGAUGGGCAUGCGUGCCAUUAGAUAGUUGGUAAGGUAACGGCUUACCAAGUCAGCGAUGGCUACGGGGUCUUAAAGGAUGGUC
rnacentral:rRNA from 1 species